CAAGAACUUCACCAUUACCCUCAGCACAGCGCCAAGGCCCCACCACUUGUAGAGCUAUAUUUACAUAAGGGCAAGUGUCUGUUAUAUUUGACAGGGUUUUCAUGUAUAAGCGCCUGGCCGUGGGCUCUGUAUGGCAACAAAACCACUCUUCUGUUCCCUCUGAAGGAACAUGUCGAUGCCACGAAGGAGGACUUUGGUGAAACUGACCUUGUUCUGUUCUCAGAUGUAAUCCUUGAACUGUCCAUACUUCUGUCCUCAGCAGACAAGAGGCCAAUGCCCUGGUCAGAUGAAGUUUCUGGAAAAUGGAGGUGUCUACACUGGGUCCCCUUCCAUGUCUCCAAAUCUUCAGCCCUUUCCUUGACUAAGCGCACUCCAGUCUCCAGAAAAGUGCACAGCAUACUCUUCCCCAAACACACCUGGCACGCUCCUUGUCUGUUCUCUGCUUUCCUUCGAGCUGCUUUAAUCCUCCUGGAACACCAUCCUCCCCACUCUUCAUCCCCAUUGGCUGAAUCCUAGCUGGUCCUUCGCUGGGCAUCUACACGCCACUUCUUCCUGGUCCGCCCAGGUAGGUUUCUCUGUCUCUGUCUCUCUCGUCUACCCCUCUCCCUCUUCUCUGUGUGGCUGUCUGUAUCUCC
rnacentral:lncRNA from 12 species